GACGAACCGUGCGAACGUUGUUCGGAUUCACUGGGCUUAAAGGGCGCGUAGGCGGUCGGCCAAGUCUGGGGUGAAAUCUUUCGGCUCAACCGGAAAAGUGCCCCCGAUACUGGCCGGCUAGAGGGAGACAGGGGCAUGCGGAACUUCCGGUGGAGCGGUGAAAUGUGUAGAGAUCGGGAGGAACACCGGUGGCGAAGGCGGGUCUCUGGGCAAUUCCUGACGCUGAGGCGCGAAAGCGUGGGGAGCAAACGGG
rnacentral:rRNA from 1 species